UCUUUCUUAAUAGAUGACCCCAUUUUGCUGGUCUCACAGCGAGCCACGUCAUCGUCUUUGUUUUGCCCACGCUCUGCACCCGGUCGCAUGGGUUGCUCGCUCCCUGUUCCUGCAGUUUUCUCCACUUCCCCACGUAGCUCUACCGUUCCUCUUCCAAAAAUAAUCGCAGCAACAGGAUUUUUCUCUAACUCCCCAAUUACUGCUCCCUCAUUGAUUCCUCACUACUAACUUGCAUAAGAAACCGUGGAACUGCAGGUGUAAUGGAGUGUUGUCAAGCACCGCCUCUUCCUCUGCCCACAAUCUCCUUUUUUUCCAUCGUCACCCUACUGCUUCUUCACAAUAUAUAUAAUCACCUCCUCUGCAGCAGCAUCCCGUUCAACAUCUUCCCCUAGCCCCUUCCUUCAAGCCACUCCCUAGACUUGCAUCGCCAUCGGUGGUCACGGGGAAGACGCCAUGUCCCUGACCGAAUCUUCCUGUUGCCUUGCCUCGCAGCCAUGGCUCCGCUGGUCGCCUUGCCACAUCCGUCUCCAUCCUCAGGUGUCCUUGAUUUAGUGUCUAUUUCCUAAUCGUUUAUGAGGAUUGAGGAUUUCAGAGGUCGACUAUAGGAAGUAUGAUUCCUCCUUAUUUACUCUUCUAUUUUUCAAUGUGAAAAUCAAGAGUUGCAGAGAUGGAUCCAACACUGCAGGUGCAGGGAAUCGCAGAUGUAUAUGGAGUAUAUCAUUGCAGGUCCUCUUGAAUUUAUCCAACUGUUUCCACAUAUUUUACUUACUGUAUCAAAUUUAGUCCUAAUUCAGUAAUGAGGUGCAAAACCUAGGCACAUAUCAAAAGAUCUUUGUUCAAAAGUUUCAUGGACCUUUUCUUGAUAAGUUACACAACCUACUAAUGACAUGACUGACCUCGACUAUGAAAGCAUGCCUCAUGUCCACCUGUUGCAGAGAUCCACCUGGGCGGUGAACCUGUCCUCCUUGGGUCAGUAUAUGCCAGCCGCAUGUUGUUGGUUUCAGUUAAGUCAGUGGCUUCAUGGAGAACCAUCAGAUUGGAGGUUAAGGAGAUGUAACGGACUGCCCCACAUACAUUCCAAGUCUAUAUGUUGAAUUAACUUAGUUAUUGCUGAGAGUUCUCUUUUAAAGAAAGCUUUGGAAAGAUUGUGGUGUAGUGAAAUUUUCUGAUUGGAGACCUUCAAAAUUUCUGUGUACCUGAAGUCUGUCAAUGUGCAAUCCUUGCAAUACUUCCAAGUUCGGACGCUACUUAGUUAACUUGAAAUAUAAAAUUUGUAGCUUAUGUUAUUUUCUUAUAAGAGUAUCACUCAUGAGUUAACUAUUCCCUAUUGUUGCUCCAUGCAGAAAAUGCAUGUCAUAUAUAAUUUUCUAU